rnacentral:rRNA from 1 species
CGGGUGAGUAACGCGUAAGCAACCUGCCCUCUAGAUGGGGACAACAGCUGGAAACGGCUGCUAAUACCGAAUACGUUCUUUCUGUCGCAUGGCAGAAGGAAGAAAGGGAGGCUCUUCGGAGCUUUCGCUGGAGGAGGGGCUUGCGUCUGAUUAGCUAGUUGGAGGGGUAACGGCCCACCAAGGCGACGAUCAGUAGCCGGUCUGAGAGGAUGAACGGCCACAUUGGGACUGAGACACGGCCCAGACUCCUACGGGAGGCAGCAGUGGGGAAUCUUCCGCAAUGGACGAAAGUCUGACGGAGCAA